AACGAACGCUGGCGGCAUGCCUAACACAUGCAAGUCGAACGAGACCCUCGGGUCUAGCGGCGCAAGGGUGCGUACCGCGUGGGAACCUGCUCUUAGGCUGGGAAUAAUUCCCCGCACGUGGAGCUAAUCCAGGGGAAUGCUUUCGGUCCAAAGUUUUAUCGCCUUUGGAUGGGCUCGCGUUGGAUUAGCUAGUUGGUUAGGUAAAACCCUACCAAGGCGAAGCUCCUUAGCUGGUGUGAGAGGAUGUUCAGCGACACUGGGACUGAGGCACGGCCCAGACUCCUACGGGAGGCAGCAGUGGGGAAUAUUGGACAAUGGGCGAAAGCCUGAUCCAGCAAUGCCGCGUGAGUGAUGAAGGCCUUAGGGUUGUAAAGCUCUUUUAACCGGGAUGAUAAUGACAGUACCGGGAGAAUAAGCUCCGGCUAACUCCGUG
rnacentral:rRNA from 1 species